rnacentral:rRNA from 1 species
UACGUAGGCAGCGAGCGUUGUUCGGAGUUACUGGGCGUAAAGGGUGUGUAGGCGGUUGUUUAAGUUUGGUGUGAAAUCUCCCGGCUCAACUGGGAGGGUGCGCCGAAUACUGAAUGACUCGAGUGUGGGAGAGGUGAGUGGAAUUCCUGGUGUAGCGGUGAAAUGCGUAGAUAUCAGGAGGAACACCUGUGGCGAAAGCGGCGCACUGGACCACAACUGACGCUGAGGCGCGAAAGCUAGGGGAGCAAACAGG